rnacentral:rRNA from 1 species
GAUGAACGCUGGCGGCGUGCCUAAUACAUGCAAGUCGAGCGAACAGACGAGGAGCUUGCGCCUCUGACGUUAGCGGCGGACGGGUGAGUAACACGUGGAUAACCUACCUAUAAGACUGGGAUAACUUCGGGAAACCGGAGCUAAUACCGGAUAAUAUAUUUAACCGCAUGGUUCAGUAGUGAAAGACGGUUUUGCUGUCACUUAUACAUGGUUCCGCGCUGCAUUAGCUAGUUGGUAAGGUAAAGGCUUAGCAAGGCAGCGAUGGGUAGCCGACGUGAGAGGGGGAUCGGCCACACGGGAGCGUGGACGGGGUCCAUGCGCCUGCGGGAGGCACCAGUAGGGAACGUGCGGCAAUGGGCGAAAGUUUAACGGAGCAACGGCGAGUGAGUGAUGAAGGUCUUCGGUUCGUGAAGCUCUGUUAUUGGUGAAGAACAAAUUUGUAAGUAACCAUGCACUUCUUGACGGUACCUACACAGAAAGCCACGGCUAACUAUGUG